GGCCACGCGGGUGCCGGACCUCGUGCCCAUCCGCUACGGCCGGAUGCUUGUGUCGCCGUUCGCGUUCUUCCGCGGCGCGGCCGC
rnacentral:tRNA from 1 species